GCGGAGGAAAAGAAACCAACUGGGAUUGCCUCAGUAACGGCGAGUGAAGCGGCAACAGCUCAAAUUUGAAAUCUGGCGCCUUGGGCGUCCGAGUUGUAAUUUGUAGAGGGAGUCUCGGGUUAAGGGUCGGUCCAAGUGCCUUGGAACAGGAUACCGAAGAGGGUGAGAGUCCCGUAUCCGGCCGACGCCAGCGCCCGUGUGAGGCCCCUUCGACGAGUCGAGUUGUUUGGGAAUGCAGCUCUAAAUGGGUGGUAAAUUCCAUCUAAAGCUAAAUACUGGCCAGAGACCGAUAGCGCACAAGUAGAGUGAUCGAAAGAUGAAAAGCACUUUGAAAAGAGAGUCAAACAGUACGUGAAAUUGUUGAAAGGGAAGCGUAUGUGGGCAGACUUGGACGCUGGAUUCAGGCCGCCUUCUGGCGGGUGUAUUUUCCAGCGGACAGGCCAGCAUCGGUUCUGAGGGCCGGACAAAGACGAAGGGAAUGUGGCUCCUCUCUGGGGAGUGUUAUAGCCCGGCGUGCAAUGCGGCCACUUGGGACCGAAGGACCGCGCAUUUGC
rnacentral:rRNA from 1 species